rnacentral:lncRNA from 1 species
ACUUUGACAAAACAAUGGUAUAAAAUUGAAUUUUUGGUUAGUGGGUGAUGAGAAAGUGAGGAAAUCUCUCUAAAAAGCUCUUGAAAGUGAAAGAAGAGUGUUAGGGCUUAGGGAGACCGCUCAAGCGAAAUGCAAAGAAGAGUUUGAAAGUGAAAAGCUUCAAAAAUCGCUCAGCUUUUAAGAAAAGUCGAGACCAAACCCGCCGCAACCGCUCAGCGGUAAAACGGACCGCUCAACGGUCUGCGGUAAUUUUCCCUUCUUCUUCUUUACUUGCUUUUGAGCAAUCUCAACUUGUAACACUCAAUUUCAACCUUCAACUUUUCAAUUAUAUGCCUUUCCCCUCUCAGAUGCAACAUUUAACAUGCAAUGCAAUCAACAUAGGAUUAAAAACAAUAUAAUCAACUGGGUUGCCUCCCAGGUAGCGCUUGUUUAACGUCACGAGCCUGACCCAAACCUGCCUAGCACUCAUCAGUAAGUGUUUGUCCUUCCAACACCCUUCAGUAGGUGUAUGCUUACCUAUAUCCUUCAAUAAAUACAUAAAAUUUUAGCAUCCCUCAGUAGAUGCUACCCAAUGCACAAAAAUUUAAAAAUUGUUCAUGAUUAGAUCACCAAGAUUUAAAAAUUUAAUUACAAAAAUAUUGUUUUUGGAUCACUAGGGUGCCUCCCAGUAAGCACUCUUUUUAUGUCACUAGCUUGACCUGGUAGAGUUCAAACACCCAUCAGUAGGUGUUGAUACUCUCCUUGCUUGAUAUUCUUUUCUUUUUCUUUUUCCUGCUGAAUUUCUUCAUAAAGUUGAGAACACCAAGCACAUGUUUCCAUGUUUCAACCAUAGGAACUUUAAUCUCCAAUUUCUUGAAGAUCUCCAUAAAGCACUUGACCUUCUUUUCCUUCCUAUGAUAUUUUUUUGAAUAAGGAAGGGGUUUUUUAUGUGAUAUUUUCUUCUUUCCUCUCUUCCUCUUUUUCUCACUUUUCUCCCUCAACUUUCUCUUUUCAUUUUUCUUUCUUUCUUUAUUUUCAUAAUUUUUCUCUUUUUUUCUUUUCUCUCAACCACUACUUUUUCCUUAUCAUCAUUUUUAUCCCGCUCACUCAACUUUUCUUCUUCCUCUCCAUCUCUUUCUAUCUCUAUUUUCUUCUCAUCAAC